rnacentral:lncRNA from 1 species
UAGAAAAAUACAAAAAAAAAUAUGUAAACAAAUAAAAAAAAAGACAAUACUUAAACACCUGUUCUUUCACAGGAGCUACACUGUCCAUUGCAGUUCCGGGCAGGCAUCAGAAAUGCCUUCAUCAUCCAUGCAGCAGAUCGUCAUCCAUGGUGCUGACUUGACUCCUUGGCUCUUCUUGAGUUCUCAGAUGAUACAAAACAUCAUUAAUUGUACCAACAUACGAAAAGGGGAUUCUGUCAAGCACACAGCAUUGUAUGCUCGCUGUCCUCACCGCAGCCUGCUGUCCGCCAUAUCAAGCAGCUGGCCUUCAGAGUCACUAAGCCUCUGGUUUUUAGGGUAUAUGUGACAUCAAGGCAUCGGCGCAAAAGGCCUAAUCACGUUAACAUCCAGCACCAGACGCCCCGCUCAUCUGACUAAUCAAAGAGAAGGGCUCGUUCAGAAAGAAGAGAGCACUGUAUGAGGUACUUCCUAUCUGCAGCUCUUAUCUGUUCAUCCCUGUACAGCACCUAGGCAGUGUGCACUUAAUGUGGCCUGGAAUCACUCACUGGCAUAAAAACACAUUACCUGGAAUGCUCGGUAAUGGGGGAGGAUUUGCAUGACCGAGAUAUGGCUGCUUUUCUAAAGGCAACACAGCUGUAAAUGGUUUUAUAGCAUGCAUAUUGAUCAUUUGCAUUUAAGGUAUUAAGUCAUUAGGUGUUACAUUAAUGAAUUAUAAUUCUACAUUAUAAGUCAACAGCUUUAGAUAAUUAUAUAAAAAACAUAUAUAGCGGUAUGAGUGAAAUAAACUAUUUUACAGAUUAGGUAGAGGUUUAGAAGUAGAGUCAAAUGUUCAUAUUUGUUUUAUUCUAUACAUUUUUGAGGACAUUUCUUCCUAAUUUUAAAUAUUAGAAAAAAUUCCUUCCCUUAUUUCUUUCUUUCUUUUUUUCUUCUUUCUUUCUUUUUUAAGAACAAAUACAAUUUUAAGAAUGAAAAAUGACAGAAAAAUUCUUAUUUUAUAAUUAGAGCUAGCCAUUACCUAAUUACACAUUUUAAAUUAUU